GGGGAUAUAACUCAGUGGCUAGAGUGCUUGCAUCACACGCAAGAAGUCGCAGGUUCGAGUCCUGCUAUCCCCACCA
rnacentral:tRNA from 1 species